rnacentral:piRNA from 1 species
UCCCAGACUUGGGAUGUGAAUUUACUGC